AACUCCUCGCACAGGACGACUGCCAAUCACGACUGUAUUCAUACACUGAAAGCACAUUUCUCUAUGACUUUGUGUGGCAGAACCGUCGCUUGUGCCUUGAUGCAUCUAAAGAAGAUGGAUCUCUGGGACGAUUAGUGAAUGACAACCAAAAAAAUCCAAAUUGUGUCAUGAAAAAAAUCACAGUUGACAACAAGCCACACUUGUGCCUUUUUGCUCUGAAGAAAAUAGAAAUAGGAUCUGAAAUUGAGUACAACUAUGGUAAUGCAAAAUGGCCCUGGCGCAGGAAGGUGAGUUGGUUAGAUUAGGCACGGGGUUUGUUUUUGACAAAUUAUGUAAAAAUGCCAUCUUGUAAAGCAAAUUUUGUCCAAUAUUAAUCAUGUUUCCAGUAUACUCUGAGUGUAUCUAUGUAAAUGCAUAAAAUCUUUCAUCUGUGUGAUGUGGUUUAACAUCAGUUGUUGUUUAAUUGAAAUCCAGGUGAAAGACCCUCAGACUCCUGCAGCAGCAGUCGAGACAGAGACCAGCCCUGUACAUCAGACGUUCCAUGAGAAAUCAAAGUCAGAUGAGAC
ensembl:lncRNA